rnacentral:tRNA from 1 species
GCCGAUGUAGCUCAAUGGUAGAGCAAUUGAUUUGUAAUCAAUAGGUUGGGGGUUCGAUUCCCUUCAUCGGCUCCA